CAUUCAGGGACUGAACCGAGAGCGUGUGCAUGACCACGAGGACGUUCCCUGGAGUGGCAAAGAUUGCACACGGCCUGGAUCACGCUUCUCGCAACACCAUGGUGACUACCAUCUCCCAGUACUGGGAGGCCCCAGGGUUUUCCACUGUCGCAUCGACUUCCUGUCAGAAUUGUCUGAUUUGUUCAAAGUACAACAUUGGUAAAGGGGUGUCAGUGUCGCAGUCACACAUGCCGCUCCCAGGAGGUCCUUUAAACCAUCUAAAAAUGGAUUUUAUUGAACUCAAACCGUCGCGCAGUUUCAGAUACUGCCUAGUUAUUGUUGAUCUCUUCUCAAGGUGAGGGCCGCAGCACGCACUGUAGCAAAGUGCCUGCUAAAAGAAAUGCUGCCUAGGUGGGGUGUCCCAGCUCGGCUCACAAGUGACAACGGGGCACAUUUCGUAAACUCAGUUGUGUAUCAGCUCUCCGAAUGAAUGGGAUUCAACCUAAAGUAUUAUUGUUCAUAUCAUCCCCCAGAGUGGUGGUGUGGUUGAAAGGGCGAAUCAGAUUGAAAGUCAAACUUGCAAAAGUCCGCGAAGAAACAGGUGGCUGGACGUGCUACCCAUAGUUCUAACGGCUAUGAGGGGUAAAACACACAGACAAUUGGGUCUGUCCUGUUUUUAGGUUCUGACAGGAAGACCAACGCCGGCCCCCAUGCCAAGUGGAAGAGUUUCAUUGGAAACUGUGGAUGAUGAUCUACUCUCGUAUCUUUCAGGUCUCCAACGAACACUGAAGGAAGUGCAUCAGCAGGUGCGACAGAACCAGUGAACCCUUAACCGGGAAGACACGCUAGAGCUGCUCCCAGGCGAUUGGGUUCUCAUCCGUGACCUGUGAAAGAAACAGUGGAAGCAGCCCUGGUGGAGAGGCCCUCAUCAGGUUCUUCUGUCCACACCCCACGCUGUGAAAUAGAAGGCAUUGACUUGUGGACUCACAUCACCUACUGCUGUAAAAUAGCUGAUCCCACGCAAGCACAACAGCAACAUGAGUGAUUCAAGGACACCCUAGCACCCUUUCUGAAGGGCAGGACUGUGUGGAAUGAGAGGAACUUU